rnacentral:rRNA from 1 species
UACGUAGGGGGCAAGCGUUGUCCGGAUUUAUUGGGCGUAAAGGGUGUGUAGGCGGUCUUUUAAGUCAGCGGUGAAAUCUCCGGGCUCAACCCGGAAACUGCCAUUGAUACUAUAGGUCUUGAAUGUUGUUGAGGUGGGCGGAACGGGUCAUGUAGCGGUGAAAUGCAUAGAUAUGACCCGGAACACCGAUUGCGAAGGCAGCCCACUAAGCAACGAUUGACGCUGAGGCACGAAAGCGUGGGGAUCAAACAGG